ACUCCAAAUCCCGUCUAAUUCACCCAAAUCCUCUCAGUCUCCCCCAAAUCCCCUCAAAACCCUGCAAAUCCCCUCAGACUUUCCUCAAAAUCCCCUCAAAACCCCCCAAAUCUCCUCAGACUCUCUUUAAUCCCCUCAGGAUUCCCACCGAAAUCCCCUCACUGUUCUCUGCCAAAAAAAACCCUCAAAAAACCCCAAAUCCCCUCAAAACCCCCCAAAUCCCCUCAGACACCCCAAAAUCCCCUCAAACAGCCCCGAAUCCCCUCAGACUUUUCCUCAAAAUCCCCCCAAAUCCCCUCAGACUCUCUUUAAUCCCCUCACGAUUCCCGCCGAAAUCCCCUCAUGAUUCUCUGCCAAAAAAAAAACCUCAAAAAACUCCAAAUCCCCUCAAAACUCCCUAAAAAUCUCUUCAAAAUCCCUUCAAAACCCCAAAAUCCCCUCAAACAUCCCCGAAUCCCCUCAGACUUUUCCUCAAAAUCCCCCCAAAUCCCCUCAGACUCUCCUUUAUCCUUUCAGGAUUCCCACCGAAAUCCCCUCAUGAUUCUCUGCCAAAAAAAAAAAUCUCAAAAAACUCCAAAUCCCCUCAAAACCUCCCCAAAAAUCUCUUCAAAACCCCCUCAAAACCCCACAAAUCCCCUCAGACUUUCCCUCAAAACCCCCAAAUCCCCUCAGACUCUCCUUUAUCCUUUCAGGAUUCCCACCGAAAUCCCCUCACUAUUCUCUGCCAAAAAAAAAACUCAAAAAACCCCAAAUCCCCUCAAAACCCCCCAAAUCCCCUCAACCCCCCCCCAAAAUCCUUUCAGACACCCCCAAAUCCCCUCAGACUUUUCCUCAAAAUCCCCUCAAAACCCCCCAAAUCCCCUCAGACUCUCCUUUAUCCUUUCAGGAUUCCCACCAAAAUCCCCUCACGAAUCUCUGCCGAAACAAAACCUCAAAAAACUCCAAAUCCCCUCAAAACUCCCUAAAAUCCCUUCAAAACCCCCCCAAAAUCCUUUCAUACACCCCCAAAUCCCCUCAGACUUUCCUCAAAAUCCCCUCAAAACCCCCCAAAUCCCCUCAGACUCUCCUUUAUCCUUUCAGGAUUCCCACCGAAAUCCCCUCCCUAUUCUCUGCCAAAAAAAACACUCAAAAAACCCCAAAUCCCCUCAAAACCCCCCAAAAUCCCCUCAAAACCCCCAAAAUCCCCUCAGACUCUCCUCAACUCCCCCCAAAUCCCCCCAAACUCUGUAACCCCCUCACGAUUUGUGCCAAAAUCCCCUCACGA
rnacentral:lncRNA from 1 species